AAAGUCGUAACAAGGUUUCCGUAGGUGAACCUGCGGAAGGAUCAUUAAAAAUUUUACCAAAAAAAUGAGAAUUCUUUUUUUCGUUUUUUGGUGCGCACUGUUACCAAUUUUGCCUUGGCAGGGGCUUUGGACAAAAGGAGGUCAUACUCUUUUUUUUGCCCAACUUUCGCGUUGACUCCAUCCCACUUAAAAAAUGGGACAGUCAUCGUGGAGAGCCGUUUCCCUGCCGAGGAACAACAUAAAAACACGUUUUAAAAAACUUUUUGUCUGAAACUUUUUUUUUUUUUGUGAUGGCGAAAGUCACGCAAUAAAACCAAAAUAUAACUUUCAACAACGGAUCUCUUGGCUCUC
rnacentral:misc_RNA from 1 species